GGAGCAUGCGGCUUAAUUCGACGCAACGCGAAGAACCUUACCAAGGCUUGACAUAUAGGGAAAAGUGGCAGAGAUGUCAUGUCCGCAAGGGCUCUAUACAGGUGGUGCAUGGUUGUCGUCAGCUCGUGUCGUGAGAUGUUGGGUUAAGUCCCGCAACGAGCGCAACCCUCGUUCUGUGUUGCCAGCAUUUAGUUGGGGACUCACAGGAGACUGCCGGGGUUAACUCGGAGGAAGGUGGGGAUGACGUCAAAUCAUCAUGCCCCUUAUGUCUUGGGCUGCACGCAUGCUACAAUGACCGGUACAGAGGGCUGCAAUACCGUAAGGUGGAGCGAAUCCCAAAAAGCCGGUCUCAGUUCGGAUUGAGGUCUGCAACUCGACCUCAUGAAGUUGGAGUUGCUAGUAAUCGUAGAUCAGCAUCGCUACGGUGAAUACGUUCCCGGGGCUUGUACACACCGCCCGUCACGUCACGA
rnacentral:rRNA from 1 species